CGGCAGCACGGGAGCAAUCCUGGUGGCGAGUGGCGAACGGGUGAGUAAUACAUCGGAACGUGUCCUGUAGUGGGGGAUAGCCCGGCGAAAGCCGGAUUAAUACCGCAUACGCUCUACGGAGGAAAGGGGGGGAUCUUAGGACCUCUCGCUACAGGGGCGGCCGAUGGCAGAUUAGCUAGUUGGUGGGGUAAAGGCCUACCAAGGCGACGAUCUGUAGCUGGUCUGAGAGGACGACCAGCCACACUGGGACUGAGACACGGCCCAGACUCCUACGGGAGGCAGCAGUGGGGAAUUUUGGACAAUGGGCGCAAGCCUGAUCCAGCAAUGCCGCGUGUGUGAAGAAGGCCUUCGGGUUGUAAAGCACUUUUGUCCGNAAAGAAAACCUCGUGGUUAAUACCCGUGGGGGNAUGACGGUACCGGAANAAUAAGCACCGGCUAACUACGUGCCAGCAGCCGCGGUAAUACGUA
rnacentral:rRNA from 1 species